UCUCCCUCUUUUGAUUGGUAACUCCUUAAUUUGCAAUCUCAGGGACAGCACUGUCUCUAUAAGCUUAUUUAGUUUUAUCAAAAGGAAUUGUGGAAGAUAUGAGUACCAGAACUUAAGCAGAUUAAAGCACAGUUGUUAAAUCCAUAAGAAGACGAGAUCUAAAGUGGGUCAUUAAGAAUUGUCAUUUGCUGAAAAGUUAACCCUGAAUGGCAUAAAUGCCUUGAAAAGAAAUGAAGUAGAUUUUUUUUUUUUAAAGUUAAAGAAAGCAAGUACUUUAGAAAGUAUUUAGAGAAGAAUGAAAGAUUUAGUGCAUUCUGGAAGAGACGUGAUAUGUUUACCUGCGGCAGAGAGUGCACACGUACGACUGCCCUUGCUCAGAAAAAAUUCCCUGUCCAAUUCCUUUUGUGGAGACUCUUCCUGCAGUGCUGCAAUUGAUUUAACCUCCCAGGUUGGAUUGGAAAUUAAAUAAGGAAAUCAUGAAUUUGGAAGUUGCUCACAUGUCAUCUCAAGAAAAGAGAAUCGAAGGAGAUUCAGGAAAAUAAGUUACCAUGAAAAGAUUUAGAAACCGAAAGCAUUGUCACCGUGCUGAAUAUGUCAUUCGUUGCUGGAGUGUGCAAUUCGUCAUUUCUUGAAGAUUUAUGAUGUGAGACAGUUUGAUGUGGGUCCAAUGUUAGACACAGUCGUAACUCGGGAGUGUGUUUGUCACAUACCCUUAGUUGUGGAUGCAUUUGAAAUAGUCCAUGUGGCUAACAGGAUAGUGUCUCACAAGAUUCAGCAGGGGCCCUGGCUGAUACCUCAGUGGACCACUGAGGCUACUCCAUGGUUUUCCUGGCAAGGAUCAUUGAGAAACCUGAACUGAGAGCUGUUAUUCACAGUCCAAAUCAAAUACCUUCUCAGCCUCCCGGUGGAUUUUAGGGUUUGGCUUCACAAGGCAUUUGAGGCUGCUGGGCCAUUGGAGAAGUUGGGAUGUCCAUAAUUUGCCAUAUGCCAGGUCAUCGAUAAAGUCUCAAUUGAAUUUAAUAUGUGAAUGUGUACGCAUUUCAUUUUUUAAUUAUUUGUUUCAUUUUUUACAGACUGCAUUUUGAUGCAAUG